AUUGAACGCUGGCGGCAGGCUUAACACAUGCAAGUCGAGCGGGGUGAUGGUGCUUGCACUAUCACUUAGCGGCGGACGGGUGAGUAAUGCUUAGGAAUCUGCCUAUUAGUGGGGGACAACAUCUAGAAAGGGAUGCUAAUACCGCAUACGUCCUACGGGAGAAAGCAGGGGAUCACUUGUGACCUUGCGCUAAUAGAUGAGCCUAAGUCGGGUUAGCUAGUUGGUGGGGUAAAGGCAUACCAAGGCGACGAUAUGUAGCGGGUCUGAGAGGAGGAUCGGCCACACUGGGACUGAGAAACGGCCCAGACUCCUACGGGAGGCAGCAGUGGGGAAUAUUGGACAAUGGGGGGAACCCUGAUCCAGCCAUGCCGCGUGUGUGAAGAAGGCCUUAUGGUUGUAAAGCACUUUAAGCGAGGAGGAGGCUCUUUUGGUUAAUACCCAAGAUGAGUGGACGUUACUCGCAGAAUAAGCACCGGCUAACUCUGUGCCAGCCGCCGCCGUAA
rnacentral:rRNA from 1 species